CACACAACUCCUCCUAUGUUACAUUAGUCGAAAACCAGAAACCCUAGUACUUGGAUUGGGACCCUGAGUAGGAAACCUGGGAGCUUAACACAACCUGUUAAUUUUCGGUUUGCUUGUUUGAUUUAGCAGAAUCGCUCGAAUGAAUUUAGUGCGAAUUCUUAAGCAUUAUUUUAUUGUUUGUGUAAUUUGGUAAGCCAUGGUCUACACAUAUCGAAUCAUUCAGACGGGUUUGAUUCACUAAAAGUGAUUUAGUGCCUACUAGUUGGGAUUUAAAGUCACCCUCCAUAACCUAUGAAUGUGCUGUGUUGUAUACAGGAUACGCAGAUUCGUUCAUGCUUGAACUCAAACCUAGUUUAUAUACAGGAGUGCUAUACCCUUCGCUGAGUUUAGCUUCAUGGCUUGCUUAACAAUUUGAUUGCUAUUUCUAAAUACUGACCGCACUGUUAUGAUAUAUUGGUAUCUUCCUGCCUAUGUGUAAAAGCGCACAUCAAGCUUCUGAACGAGUUGCGAUUUGGAGAACUGCUGUAGUCAAUUCUACUGACUGGUUUAUGGCUUACACAUAUUUUGACUGAUUAGUUAUUUAUUCAGUGGUAGUCCGAUUAUGUCUGGAAUCUAGUGAAUAUAUCUGCUAAGCUGUUAAAAAUCCUAGCGUUACUGGUUACUUGGUUAGGAAGUUCGUUUGCCUUCUUAAUUGCAUCCGUUGUUUUCUUCAACGUGAAUAUAUCAGCAAAAUUUCUGUCUUCCGUGCAUAUAUAACUCUACUUCUGCACUUAUGAGUUGUACUGGCUCAAGCAGUCAAGUUUACUAAUUAGAUGCUUAAUAAUUUCUGAUUUUUUUUUACUAUCCAACACUAGUAUGUGCUUGUAGCUCCUUGCAUCUUCUCCGAAUAGGUAUCUAGAGUAACAAAGAAAAUCUAAUGAGUACAUGUAUGUAUUGGUUACCGAUACUUAACUCUACAGCGCUGUCUGUUGUGUUUUGGAAUUGUUAAGUAGAACUGAU